AACUUGAAACUUGUUUAAAAUAUAUAAUGAGCUCAAGAUCGGCUCUUACCUCUUGAAGAUCGAGAGGAAAAACGAUCCUAGCUCGGAAAUGGGAGAGAUCGAGUUCUUUGAACCUCCAAGCUCCAAAACUUGCUAUUUGCUUAAAAAUCUUCAAAACAAAGGUGAAAACUCAUAAAAAUCAUGGAAGAUUUGAAGGAAGAACUCAAGAUCGGCAUGAGGGCGGCGGAGACUCACCUUGGCCGAAAAUGGGGAGAAAAAGCUCACCCAUUCGGACAUGGGGACCCCUUUAUAGGUGGCUGGCCAGGCCACUUUCGGGGGCCUAACGUGCCUCCGCAUGCAUGCCAUGUUCGGCGGCCGAACAUAAGGUUCGGCGGCCGAACCUGGACUUCCCUCACUUAUGCCUUCGGGGGCCUAAAGCACUCCCGAAGCGCAUGCAUGUUCGGCGGCCAAACCCGAGUUUUCCUCCAAUGCUAAUUUCAUGCAAAAACUCAUUUUCUUUCUUGCUUAAAAACAUAAAUUACAUUAAAACAUUUUAUAAAAACAUGGUUUUACCCUUCUAGAAGUCUCCGACUCCCGAGAUUCCACCGGACGGUAGGAAUUCCGAUACCGGAGUCUAGCCGGGUAUUACAUUCUCCCCCCCUUAAGAACAUUCGUCCCCAAAUGUUCCUCAACUAGCACAUGCAAGGCAUAAAACACAUCAUACACAUAAAACACAUGAAACAUAUAAGAAACUAACCUUAGAAAAGAUAAGGGUAUUGCUGGAGCAUGGACUCCCGUGUCUCCCAGGUGCAUUCUUCCAUUUUGUGGUGGUUCCAAAGGACUUUCACCAUCGGGAUUUCCUUGUUUCUCAGCUUCUUGAUCUGGGUGUCAAGAAUCUGCACUGGUUGUUCAACAUAGGUGAGAUCUUCUUGGAUCUCCACAUCAGGCUCACUAAGAACCUUGCCCGGAUCUGACACGAACUUCCUCAACAUGGAAACAUGGAAAACCGGAUAGAUUCUUUCCAUUGAAGCAGGUAAAUCUAGCUUGUACGACACAUUCCCAAUCUUCUGCAAGAUUUCAAAGGGUUCGAUGUAUCGUGGGGCUAGCUUACCUUUCUUCCCAAAACGAACCACUCCUUUCAUAGGAGACACCUUGAGCAAUACCAGAUCUCCCUCCUGAAAUUCUACCUGUCUCCUGCGGAUGUCUGCAUAGCUCUUCUGUCUGCUCACAGCAGUUCUGAUCCUCUCUCUGAUAAUGGGUACCACCCUGCUGGUGAUCUCAACAAGCUCAGGGCCUGCCAAGGCCUUUUUCCCCACUUCUUCCCAGCAAACAGGUGACCUGCACUUCCUCCCAUACAAAGCUUCAUAUGGGGCCAUCCCUAUGCUAGCAUGAUAGCUGUUAUUGUAGGCAAACUCCACCAAGGGUAGAUGCUGCCUCCAAGAACCGCCAAAAUCUAGCACACACAUUCUGAGCAUUUCUUCUAUAGUUUGGAUGGUCCUCUCUGACUGUCCGUCCGUCUGUGGAUGGAAGGCAGUACUGAAAUCUAACCUGAUACCCAUAGCAUUCUGCAGACUCCGCCAAAAUCUAGAGGUGAACUGGGGCCCUCUAUCAGACAUUAUCGAAACAGGAACCUCAUGCAGCCUUACCACUUCAUCCACAUACACCUGCGCUAACUUAUCCACUGAGUAGUUGCUCCUGACAGGAAUGAAGUGAGCAGAUUUGGUCAGUCUGUCCACAAUCACCCAUAUGGAGUCUAACCUGUUGGAUGCUGCCGGUAACCCCACUACAAAGUCCAUAGCUAUAUUCUCCCAUUUCCACUCUGGAAUAGGUAGUGGGUUAAGCAUUCCAGCCGGCUUCUGAUGUUCUAGCUUCACCCUUUGACACACUUCGCAGGCUGACACAAACUAUGCCACUUCUCUUUUCAUAGCGGGCCACCAAUAAACCUUCUUCAGAUCUUGAUACAUCUUGGUGGCUCCAGGGUGAACACUGUAUCUGGCAUUAUGAGCCUCUCUCAUAAUGUCUCCCUUUAGCCCUAUGUCAUCUGGUACACAUAGUCUGCUCCCAAAGUGGAGGAUCCCCUUGCUGUCGAAUCUGAACUCACUAUCCUUGCCUGACUGAAUAGUCCUGGCAAUCUUCACUAACUCUGGGUCCUCAUGAUGUUUCUGAGCCACCUGCUCCAGAAACACGGGUGUCACUCUCAUCUGGGCUAUCAAAGCACCUGUACCAGACAACUCCAACUGUAGACCUUCAUUCAUGAGCUCGAAGAACUCCCUCACUAUUGGCCUCCUCUCUGCUGAAAUAUGGGACAAACUGCCAAGUGAUUUCUGGCUUAAGGCGUCUGCCAUAACAUUCGCCUUACCCGGAUGGUACUUGAUCUUGCAAUCAUAGUCACUGAGCAGUUCUACCCAUCUUCUCUACCUCAAAUUCAAAUCUCUCUGACUCAGGAUGUACUGCAGGCUUUUAUGAUCUAUGAAGAUCUCACAUUUUACCCCAUAAAGGUAAUGCCUCCACAUCUUGAGUGCAAAGAUUACCGCUGCCAUCUCUAGGUCAUGUGUAGGGUAAUUCAACUCGUGCUUCUUCAGUUGCCUAGAAGCAUAAGCAAUCACCCUUUCAUUCUGCAUCAGCACACAACCCAGUCCUACACGGGACACAUCACAAUAGACUGAGAAGUCUUCAUUACUAGAUGGCAGAGCUAACACUGUUGCUGAAGUCAACCUCUUCUUGAGCUCCUCAAAGCUUUCUUCACACUGGUCGGUCCACACAAACCUUUGGUUCUUCUUAGUCAGUCUGGUCAUGGGAGCUGCAAUUUUAGAGAAGUCCUGGACGAACCUCCUGUAGUAACCUGCCAAACCCAAUAAGCUCUUGAUCUCUGUCACUGUAGUGGGUCUAGGCCAGUUAGCUACAGCUUCCACUUUCUUGGGGUCUACCUCGAUUCCAUUUUCUGACACAACGUGCCCCAAGAAUGAAAUGCUCCUCAGCCAGAAAUCACACUUGGAGAACUUGGCAUACAAGCCAUGUUCCCUCAAGGUCUGCAGAACUAACCUCAGAUGAUGGGCAUGCUCCUCUGCAUUCCUGGAGUACACUAAGAUAUCAUCUAUGAAGACAAUAACAAAGUGAUCCAGGUACUGACUGAAAACCCUGUUCAUGAGAUCCAUGAAUGCUGCAGGGGCGUUGGUCAACCCAAACGGCAUCACAAGGAACUCAAAAUGCCCAUAUCUGGUCCUGAAGGCUGUCUUCAAUACAUCCUCUUCCCUUAUCCUCAGCUGAUGGUAUCCUGAUUUCAGAUCUAUCUUGGAGAAACAACCUGCUCCUGCUAGUUGCUCGAAUAGAUCGUCGAUCCUUGGCAACGGGUACUUAUUCUUGGUAGUGACCUUGUUCAACUGCCUGUAGUCGAUACAAAGUCUGAGAGAUCCAUCCUUCUUUUUCACAAAUAGCACUAGAGCACCCCAAGGUGAGGUACUCGGUCGGAUGAAUCCUCUAUCUACCAACUCUUGCAACUGCUCCUUAAGCUCCUUCAAUUCUGCUGGUGCCAUCCUGUAGGGAGGGAUAGAGAUCGGUCUGGUUCCAGGCAUCAAUUCAAUUUCGAACUCUAUCUCCCUAACAGGCGGUAAACUUGGCAGCUCGUCUGGGAACACAUCUAAAAACUCUCUAACCACUGGCACCGAGACGGGCUCUCUGACAUGACUAUCCAGCUCUCUCACAAGAGCUAGAAAACCCUGACAACCCCUCCUAAGGAGCCUACGAGCCUGAAGGGCUGAUAUCAAACCUCUAGGUGUACCCCUUCUGUCUCCUCUGAAGACAACCUCUGACCCAUCCUGACAUCUGAACCUUACUACCUUGCCUCUGCAAUCCAAGGUAGCACCAUGGGUAGAUAGCCAAUCCAUCUCUAGAAUGACGUCAAAAUCUGUCAAAUCUAGAACCACAAGGUCGGCGGACAGGCAUCUUCCCUCCACAAAAACUGGACUACACUGGCAGACUAACUCUGCCAUUGACGGGUCACACUUGGGUCCACUGACCCAUAGGGGACACGCUAACCCAGAGACCAUCAAUCCCAACCUCUCGACGGCCCUCGGAGCAAUGAAAGAAUGAGAUGCACUAGGGUCCAAUAAUGCAUACACAUCGGAACAACCAAUGAUGAGAUUACCUGACACCACGGUGUUGGAUGUGUUUGCCUCCUGCUGAGUCAUGGUGAAGAUUCGUGCCGGAGCUAAUGGACCCUCACCCCGGAAACCUGCUGAAGAAGAGGCUGCCCCUCUCCCUCUGCCUCUGCCACUAGCAUGAGUCGCGGCUGGAGCUACUGGCUGUGCCACACUACCUGAAGCUGUCUGCUGAGACUGUGCCAUAAAAGCUGCCCUAGGACACUCCCGAGCCAUGUGUCCCUCCUGCCCACAUCUGAAGCAGGUUGUCGUCCCAACCAGACAUACUCCUUUGUGCGGCUUCCCACACUUCUUGCAUACUGCAUUAUCUGCACCAGAGCUUGAGCCACUCCCUAAUCCCAGACCUGACUUGAUCUUGCUCCAGAACUUGUUCUUCUUAGGCUUGGCUUUACCCCAUCUCUUACUGCCUGAACUCAGAGAAGAAGGGUCUAACUUUCCCCCAUCUGGAGUCUUGGAACCAAAAGGUUGUGCCACUGACUGCUUGACUUUCCCCUCGAUUAUUGCACUAGCCUCCAUCCUCCGAGCCAUAUCCACUAUGGCAUGGAAACUCUCCCUCUCUGCUGACUGUAUCAAGGAGGAAUACCUGGAAUGGAGCUUCAUGAUAUACCUCCUUGACUUUUUCUGAUCUGUAUCCAGAUUCUGCCCAGUAAACGGCAACAGCUCCAAGAAUCUGUCUGCAUACUCAUCCACACUCAUCUCAUCCGUUUGCCUCAGCUGCUCGAACUCAAUCAUCUUCAAUUCUCUUGAACUGUCAGGGAAAGCCCAUCCUGCAAACUCAUUUGCAAACUCCUCCCAUGAUAGGCUGUCCAACCUCGGGUUCACAUAGUUCUUAAACCACUCUCGGGCCUUCUUGCAUUUUAGUGUGAACCCAGCCAUCUGAAUGGCUCUACUGUCAUCAGCUCCUAUCUCAUCUGUAAUUGUCUUGACCCUCUCGAGGUACACAAACGGGUCAUCACCGGUUUCAAACUGGGGAGCACCCAGCUUCAUGUAAUCGGUCAUCUUGACCUUGCUCCCCCCAGAUGAGCUAGGUUUAGGCAUUUGGGUUUCUGGGACAGUAGGUGCUGCUGGUGGUGGAGGAGGUGCAGCAUCCCCUGGGGUAGGGUUUGCUGUACCUGGAUGGUAGGAUGGGGGUGGAUACAUAGGGUACUGUGAGUACGGUGGGUAGAAAGGUGGGUAUGGCAUCUGAGAGUGAUAAAGGUUAAAACUGGGGUAAUCCGAUGUACCUCCCAUCGAAUACCCGGGAUUAUGUGAAAAGGGUGGGUAGUAAGGUGGCUGAACAAAUCCCGAGGCCUGAGUGCCUCCUUGGGACUCUCCCAUUCCCUCUUCCGACAUACUUACUCCGAGACUGCCAUCCCUCCUCUGAUCCACAUCCAUCUGAUCCCCCAAAUCCUCUGACAUAUCCCCUUGCACUGUUCCCCUCACUGAUCUGCUUCUACCCAGAUCCAAAGACCUUCUAGGGUCUCUUACUGCUCUUUCUCUGCUGGACCUACUUGACAUUGCUCUAGGCAAUGCAGGAGGACGAGCAUCAGUGCCCUUGUCCUGGGGUGGUACUCCAGUCAAUCGUGCAGAUCGACGAGUUCCUCUCAUCCUGUUUUCUGAAAAACAGUACACAUCACAUAGAACAUUAGCAUCAAAUGGUUCAUGUGCAAACACAUGAACCCGCAUCACAUACAUCACAUAUCAUAGCAUAACAUUAAUGCACAUGCAUAUAAUCAUGGCAUUACACAUCAUCAUUCAAGACAGGACUCUUUAUCCUAUCCUAGUGGACAUGAUCUUCCUAUUGUGCUUGACCUUCUAUGACACCUAUGAGCCCGACACACUAUAGGUCUGAUCAUAUGAACCUAGGGCUCUGAUACCACUUUGUAACGACCCGAAAACCGGACCGCUACCGGCGCUAGGAUCCAGAUCGGCAUAAGGUCGCCGGGACCCGUAGCAAGCCAAACAUACAUCCUGAAUACCUGUCAAAUCCCAUACAUGAUCACACAAUAUAUAAACAUGAGAACUUUUUCUUUUCUUUUACGAAGCUCAACCUGUGUAUGCACAUAAACAUAAACAUAAACUACACACUGGAGUAUCAUCACAUGCUCCAAUGGGGUAUCUCAUCAAACAUCAAGCUUGGUUGAACAUAAACAUCAUAAAACAUAGAUCAUGUACAUACAUGGGAUUAUCUAAACAUAUUAUGGUCAAGCACAAUUCUAAUCCUCAAUAUCAAUAUUACAUAACAUGACUGUUCAUAACCUUACAUCAUUUUACAAUUCAUCAUGUCCACAUCUAACUAUUACAAAUCACAUGACUUUACUCUUCUUGACUCCCUGAACUAGCCCGUACCUGCAAACCUGGGGGAUAUAGGGAAAGGGGUGAGCUACUAGAGCCCAGUGAGCAGAAUACUAAAACAUUUAAAAUAUAUGCCAUCAUGUAAUGCAUCAUAUCACAGACAUAUCACAUCAAGGGUGAACCUGUCACCAAAUAGUCCCAGCAUCAUAUCUGUGCCAGGCCGUAGAAUGGGGUCCUGGUCUUCCUGUCAUAUCAUAACAUUACUUACCAUUGCCCCAGCGCCUCAUCUGGGCACCUGGUCUUCACGUUCCAUAUCGUGCCUGGCCGUACAAUGGGGUCCUGGUCUUUCAUACCGUGUCAGGCCGUAGAAUGGGGUCCUGGUCUUUUCUGAGGGACUAAUUGGAUCAUACAGCAUUCACCCACAUCCACAAUAAAGAAUGCAGUGCAACAUAUUCGUGGAUUCUAAUGCAACAACCUAUUAUAUCACAUGGCAUUCGUGAUGCAUGAUUCAUGCCAAAACUUGCAUUUAUUUAAAACAUAAGGUUUAUUCUACUCACCUCAGGCUAACUCUGACAAUGAACUGAAGCAGCUGACUCACUGCUGGGGUCCUCGGUUCCUUGGGUCCGAACCUACACAGGUGGACUCAAAUAAGGGACCAAACACACUAGAACAAGACUCUAAAAAUAUCCCCCAAAAGCCCCCUAAAACACCUCAAAACAAUCAAAGAAUUCAUGCAAAGGAGGGCUGAACAGGGCACUUUCGGCGGCAGGUUCGGCGGCCAAAAGUCCCUCCAGAGCCGAAAGUCAUGCACCUUCGGCGGCACCUUCGGCGGCCAAAUGUUCUCUUCAGAGGCGAAACUCAUGCAUGUUCGGCGGCACCUUCGGCGGCCGAAAGUCCCCUCCAGAGAUGAAAGUCCACUUUCGGGGGCAGGCUUCGGUAGCCGAAAGCUUGCCUCUACAGGCAGGUUCGGCGGCCAAAAGUUCCUUCGGCUGCCGAACCUGAGUUUCUCCCAAAGUGGCAAAAACUCGGCUCUUAUGCACAUUUGCCUCCCAAAACCUUCAAUCAUGCAUACAACUCAACCAAAACAUGCAUAAACACAUACAUAAGCUCCUAGGGGUUUCCAACUAUCCUAAACCCCAACUACAACACAUCAAAAGCAACUCAGCAACCUACAUUGUCUAUAAACACAAUUCAAAACCAAACAAAGCUCAACUGACCUAAGCAUGCAUUUCUACCUCAUGAAUCAACUUGAAACUUGUUUAAAACAUAUAAUGAGCUCAAGAUCGGCUCUUACCUCUUGAAGAUCGAGAGGAAAAAUGAUCCUAGCUCGGAAAUGGGAGAGAUCGAGUUCCUUGAACCUUCAAGCUCCAAAACUUGCUAUUUGCUUAAAAAUCUUCAAAACAAAGGUGAAAACUCAUAAAAAAUCAUGGAAGAUUUGAAGGAAGAACUCAAGAUCGGCAUGAGGGCGGCGGAGACUCACCUUGGCCGAAAAUGGGG
rnacentral:lncRNA from 1 species